rnacentral:rRNA from 1 species
GACGAACGCUGGCGGCGUGCCUAAUACAUGCAAGUCGAGCGGGCCUCCGGAGGUGCUUGCACCUCCGGAAGGCCAGCGGCGGACGGGUGAGUAACACGUGGGCAACCUGCCUUUGAGGCCGGGAUAACACCGGGAAACCGGUGCUAAUACCGGAUGCGUCCCCUUUCGCGCCUGCGAGAGGGGAGAAAGACGGUCUUUAAGGCCGUCGCUCAAAGAGGGGCCCGCGGCGCAUUAGCUGGUUGGUGGGGUAAGGGCCUACCAAGGCGACGAUGCGUUGCCGACCUGAGAGGGUGAUCGGCCACACUGGGACUGAGGCACGGCCCAGACUCCUGCGGGAGGCAGCAGUAGGGAAUCAUCCGCAAUGGGCGAAAGCCUGACGGUGCAACGCCGCGUGAGUGAGGAAGGUUUUCGGAUCGUAAAGCUCUGUUGUGAGGGAAGAACAGCUUCCGGAGGAAAUGCCGGAGGUUUGCCGGUACCUCACCAGAAAGCCCCGGCUAACUACGUGCCAGCCGCCGCAGUAA